rnacentral:sRNA from 1 species
GCCAGGUGUGGCAGCACACGCCUGUAAUCCCAGCUACUCAGGAGGCUGAGGCAGGAGAAUUGCUUGAGCCUGGGAGAUGGAGGUUGCAGUGAGCCGAGAUUAUGCCACUGCACUCCAGCCUGGGUGACAGAGCAAGACCCUGCCUCAA